AUACGCCCGUAUAAAAUACGGGACGUAUUAUGUGAAACCCCUUGGCGGCGGGCGGCGGGCGGCGGGCGGAAGGCAUCACUUUGUCCGGACUCUAAUUCAAAUUGUAUUCAUCCGAUCUUCACCAAACUUGGUCAGCAGUUGCAUCUAGUUGAUAUCUAGGCCAAGUUCGAAUAUGGGUCAUGCCGGGUCAAAAACUAGGUCAUAGGGUCAAUUAGUGCAUUUUCAACGGCGCCACUUUGUCCGGACUCUUAUUCAAAUUGUAUUCAUCCGAUCUUCACCAAACUUGGUCAGAAGUUGUAUCUAGACAAUAUCUAGGUCAAGUUCGAAUAUGGGUCAUGCCGGGUCAAAAACUAGGUCACAGGGUCACUUAGUGUAUUUCAAGCAUUUAGCAUGGUGUCCGCUCUCUAAUUGAAGUAGUUUUCAUCCGAUCUUCACCAAACUUGGUCAGAAGUUGUAUCUAGACAAUGUUUAGGUCAAGUUCAAAUAUGGGUCAUGCCGGGUCAAAAACUAGGUCACAGGGUCACUUAAACCAUUUCAAGCAUUUAGCAUGGUGUCCGCUCUCUAAUUGAAGUAGUUAUCAUCCGAUCUUCACCAAAUUUGGUCAGAAGUUGUGUCUAGACAAUAUCUACAUGUAGGUCAAG